rnacentral:rRNA from 1 species
CCUACGGGUGGCUGCAGUGGGGAAUAUUGCACAAUGGGGGAAACCCUGAUGCAGCGACGCCGCGUGAGUGAAGAAGUAUUUCGGUAUGUAAAGCUCUAUCAGUAGGGAAGAAAAUGACGGUACCUGACUAAGAAGCCCCGGCUAACUACGUGCCAGCAGCCGCGGUAAUACGGAGGGGGCGAGCGUUAUCCGGAUUUACUGGGUGUAAAGGGAGCGUAGACGGCAGCGCAAGUCUGGAGUGAAAUCCCAUGGCUUAACCAUGGAACUGCUUUGGACACUGUGCAGCUGGAGUACAGUAGAGGUAAGCGGAAGUCGUGGUGUAGCGGUGAAAUGCGUAGAUAUUAGGAGGAAC